CAAAAAUUAAAGAAACUGGUAACUUAGGUUUUAGGCCAUAUUUAAUUUUUCUAGUAGCUUCCGUUUGAUAAAAGAUUCUUCAAAAACUAAUAAUGUUCUUUUUAUUUUUUUCAGGGUAGAAUUAAGUUGUAAAUAGUUGGUAGUAGUAGUUUUAGUAUUAGUUAUUGUUAGUUAGCUUUAGUAUUUAUUAAUUUAGUAAGUAGUAUGAACACGUGAGCCAGCUUUUAAAAAAAGCUGGUGAAAAAGGCCUAAUCUUUAUUGAUUAGGUUGUGUGAGAAUUUGUGGUUGUGGGUAGACAAAUUCUGAAAAUCGUGUUUAAUUAAAAUUA
rnacentral:lncRNA from 1 species